rnacentral:rRNA from 1 species
AACGAACGCUGGCGGCAUGCCUAACACAUGCAAGUCGGACGAGACCUUCGGGUCUAGUGGCGCACGGGUGCGUAACGCGUGGGAAUCUGCCCUUGGGUUCGGAAUAACAGUUGGAAACGACUGCUAAUACCGGAUGAUGACGUAAGUCCAAAGAUUUAUCGCCCAAGGAUGAGCCCGCGUAGGAUUAGCUAGUUGGUGAGGUAAAGGCUCACCAAGGCGACGAUCCUUAGCUGGUCUGAGAGGAUGAUCAGCCACACUGGGACUGAGACACGGCCCAGACUCCUACGGGAGGCAGCAGUGGGGAAUAUUGGACAAUGGGCGAAAGCCUGAUCCAGCAAUGCCGCGUGAGUGAUGAAGGCCUUAGGGUUGUAAAGCUCUUUUACCCGGGAUGAUAAUGACAGUACCGGGAGAAUAAGCGCCGGCUAACUCCGUG